UCGGAAUCCUAUGACACCUACAUCAAUAGGAGUUUCCAGGUGACGAAGGAGAUAAUAAGUGAAUGCAAAAGUAAGGGAAAUAACAUUCUGAUUGUGGCCCACGCAUCUUCCCUCGAAGCAUGUACCUGCCAGCUCCAAGGCCUAUCCCCGCAGAACUCUAAGGACUUCGUGCAAAUGGUCCGGAAGAUCCCAUAUUUAGGCUUCUGUUCCUGCGAAGAACUGGGAGAAACCGGAAUAUGGCAACUGACAGACCCACCCAUCCUUCCCCUUACCCACGGACCCACUGGGGGCUUCAACUGGAGAGAGACCCUUCUGCAAGAAUAAGCUGCCUGAGGGAUGGGAGGAACUUGCAGACGAGCCCUCAGGAUGUUCCUUAGCAGUGGGAAAGAAAGCCCACGCUGCAUUCAAAGCAGACAGCUCAGAAUCAUUUAGCAUAUUUCUUUUCAUGCUUAGGGGACAGCGAGAUUAUGUCAACGAGGGGAAGUCGUGAUUCAGAGGGAGAAUUUUUAAAAAAUCCUUCUCUCUGGACUUGCCUAGCUAACAAGGCUUUGGAGAAUUGUCUUCCUGAGCUGAGUACCUGCUGCUGCAGAAACUACCACCCUCCUUCAGGCUACGCAUGGCUAAAGAGCCUCAUUCUUCUCCCAGAGAGCUGCUCCCACCCUCAAAAGGCAUGCAAGGGGAACGACUGUGUCUGGAAUCCAACUGGGCAUGGGAUAGCCUUUUGUGCUCUAUUUGCAAGUUAGGCAAAGCCACCCUGAGGAGUGCAUUGGUGGUUGUUAGGAACCAUACAUAAGAACAGUCCUGUGUCAGACAGCAGAUUCUCCUCUCGGCAGACUCCAUUCAUUAGCGUGCCAGGCACCCACUUGAGGACUCCCAGCAUUCACCCUGGUACCACCACUUGAUCUCCAGAGCAGCCUGGCCCUUUGUGCCUCUCUAUCUGUGAAAUGUGGAGAACAGCAUGUUUGCUCUCCCAAGCACUUUGACAUAACUCAGGAGGAAUCAAGAAAUGGGUGGUGUAUUAAAUGGGGGGGUGCAGUGACAUAGAAUAUUCAUCAAAUUGAAAUUACUCCCGUGACGGCCGGAUGAACUGUGAAGUCCCCACGCCUGUCUGAAUCAGGGCGUGCCUUUCCACCCAGGCUCUAGACUGUGUUAAGCAGUUAAGGAGAUUGACCUUUGGAAGGAUGUAGGUUCGAUUCACUAUUUGGAUCAGCAAAAAACAAAAACAAAAACAAACAAACAAACAAAAAAUUCCAGUGCGAUACAGAUAUUUUUAGAAACUGUACUGAGGGUCGUGUUGUUGGUCACAUAGAGUCCAUGUGCAGUGUAGCAGAAUGUCCGUAGGUUAGCCAGUUUUAGGGUGUCUAGGAAGCCCAGGGACUAAUGUGAAUGGUGACAGUCACAGCUGCACUGCUUCUUUUGCUGCCCUCUUCGCUUUUCUAUGGUAAUUUAAAAUAAUGGGAGGGAGGGCCACUUGAAGGAAGCUGGAGAGUGACAGCCUUUCUGCGGGGGCUCUCACCACACCUACUUCCCGUAUUUAGGGAGAGUGCGUGUAUUUAAAGGAAGAAUAAAUGACAAU
rnacentral:lncRNA from 1 species